rnacentral:rRNA from 1 species
GACGAACGCUGGCGGCGUGCUUAACACAUGCAAGUCGAACGGAAAGGCCCUGCUUUUGUGGGGUGCUCGAGUGGCGAACGGGUGAGUAACACGUGAGUAACCUGCCCUUGACUUUGGGAUAACUUCAGGAAACUGGGGCUAAUACCGGAUAGGAGCUCCUGCUGCAUGGUGGGGGUUGGAAAGUUUCGGCGGUUGGGGAUGGACUCGCGGCUUAUCAGCUUGUUGGUGGGGUAGUGGCUUACCAAGGCUUUGACGGGUAGCCCGCCUGAGAGGGUGACCGGCGACAUUGGGACUGAGGGAAGGCCCAGACGCCGACGGGAGGCAACAGUGGGGAAUAUUGCACAAUGGGCGGAAGCCGGAUGCAGAAACGCCGCGUGCGGGAAGGCGGCCUUCUGGUUGUAAAACGCUUUCGCCUGUGACGAAGCGUGAGUGACGGUAAUGGAUAAAGAAGCACCGGCUAACUACGUG